GAUGAACGCUGGCGGCGUGCUUAAUACAUGCAAGUCGAGCGAACGGACGCGAAGCUUGCUUCUCUGAUGUUAGCGGAGGACGGGUGAGUCACACGUGUAUAACCUACCUAUCAGACUGGGAUAACUUCGGGAAACCGGCGCUAAUACCGGAUAAUAUUUUGCACCGUAGUGUUCAAUAGUGAAAUACGGUCUUGCUGUCUGUUCUAGCUGGAUCCCGGCUGCAUUAGAUAGUUGGUACGGUAACGGCUUACCACGGCGAGGAUGCAUAGCCGAGCGGAUAGGCGGAUAGGCGACACGGGAACGGGGACAGGGUCCAGGCGCCUACGGGAGGGAGCAGUAUGGAAUCUUACGCAAUGGGCGAGAGCCUGACGGAGCAACGCCGCGUGAGUGAUGAAGGUCUUCGGAUCGGAAAACUCUGUUAUUAGGGAAGAACAUAUGUGUAAGUAGCUGUGCACUUCUUGACGGUACCUAGUCAGAAAGCCACGGCUAACUACGUG
rnacentral:rRNA from 1 species